UCCUAUUAUUAAUUAUAAGAUCCAUUUCAAUAUUGAUCAGAGCAUUUCAUGUUCAAAUCUGAACUCUGCAAUAUAAAACACCACGAAAGUACAAAAGUUCAAGAUUAACUGAAAAUUGCUGCACUCAUAUUAUAUGAGCCACACAGCAGAGUUCAACCUGCAAGAAUUUUCAUCAUGAAUUACCACAGAAAAAGGGAAUAUAAGGGUGAAUAAUAAGGAAAUCAAUAGUUUGAUCCCCACCCUCAAUAUAAAAACUAACAAUACAAUACUAACAUUUUUUAUGCCAAAAUGUACAACAGCAAAAAAGAUAUCUUGGAAGUAGAAAUAUUUCAUUGAUCUAGCUAUGAAAAUUUCAACAUAUAUAAAGCAAUCAACGACACAUAUAUAUAUAACAGCAAAAUAACAAAGUGCACUAAUUAAUCAUGUUUCUUAAUGCAUACACACGAGUAGCUAUUCUAUAUAUUUGAGAUCUUUAUAUGCGAUACAUAAAUUGCCAAAGGAUAAUUAGUUGCCCUUCCAUAUAGGUUAAGAUCUUGAGGGUUUUCAGCUAUGACCUAACUAGUAGUUAGGUCUAAGAUGAACCAUUUUGCCUUUAGUUUCGCUUCUUUACUUCCAUCGUGUUGAUGCAAACACUUUCGAUGAUGAGAUCUUAACUGGCUUGGGACUCAUUUUGAAAUAUGUUGCUGGAAGAAAGAAAGAAAGGUUAGUGCAUAUAUAAAUACAAGAGUUGAGGAUGAGAGCAAAAAAGAAGAGAAUAAUAGUGGUGCUCAAGUGAGGGAGACAUGUUUGGUUAUAGUAGUGGCUUUUGCAGGUGAAAAAGGAAGUGGAGGAAUGGAUCUUCUCAGCAUAUACCUUGAGAAACCUUGGCUGCUUUUUUGCCAUUUAUUUACUUUAUCUAAAAAAUUAGGAAAAUGUUUCUUACACACCCAUCCAAAUGUGUAUACACCAUGAGAGGAAAGUUGAGUUCUUUCAAAAUGUGAUUUACACAUGAGAGAGUUAUGUGUAAUCUCACACUAUUCAAGAGAGAAAUUAUAUAUUAUUUAAAUCUUUUAUAUGUUUCUGUUUCAUUUUGGAUGGUGAGAAAUUACACCUUACCAUCUCAUUUGUAAAUCAUUCAUGAGAGGAUCCAAAUCCCCUUGAGCUAGAUAAAGAUAAGAGAAAGUUGUGUGAUAGAUGUGAUACAUUGAUA
rnacentral:lncRNA from 1 species